CAAACUGCCCAAUGGUUAAGGUAUCACAAGGACUUGUAGAAAUUUGCCCUUUUUAAUAAGGGUUUUCCUCUAUGUUAUCAUUAUAAGGACUAGUGGACUAAAAGUGUUAGUUUCUACCGCUGCAAGUCUUUGAAAAGACGCAUAGGGGACGAGGUGAGUGAGUGAGUGAGUGAGGUGUCCACCAUGGACGCUGUGGGGAAGAGACAACACUGAGGGCGAGGUGAGGAUCAACCACGUGGCUGCUGCAACGUUAACCCACAUACCUGUAGUAGUGCGUGUGGCCAUGGCUGGGACAGUACGUGCGAGCGAGUGUGUUUACAUGUGAGGUCAAUAAUGUGCGAGUGUGUUUACAUGCGUAUUUCUGUGUAUCAUGUAGUAUUAUGCAUUACUGUGUACCACUGUAUCUGUCUGUGUUAUUUCAAG